rnacentral:lncRNA from 1 species
CAGUGUUUCGUGUUCCGUGUUCCAUGUUUAUUACGAAUCUGUGUGCUUUCCUCUGCUUUAUAUUCCUGCACUCCUGCUUUACUCUGUUUUAUAUUCCUUAUGGGUGCCGUAUCUAUGUUAUGUCAUCUGCUUCUGUGCUGUACUAUGUGUUGUGUGAUAUCUCGUGACUUGAGCCGGGGGCCUUUCGGAAACAGCCUUUCUACUUCAUCAGAGGUAGAGGUAUGGACUGCGUACAUCUUACCCCCCCCAGACCCCACUAAGUGGGAAUACACUGGGU